rnacentral:rRNA from 1 species
UACGGGGGGGGCAAGCGUUGUUCGGAAUUACUGGGCGUAAAGGGCUCGUAGGCGGCCAACUAAGUCGGAUGUGAAAUCCCCAGGCUUAACCUGGGAACUGCAUCCGAUACUGGAUGGCUUGAAUCCGGGAGAGGGAUGCAGAAUUCCAGGUGUAGCGGUGAAAUGCGUAGAUAUCUGGAGGAAUACCGGUGGCGAAGGCGGCAUCCUGGACCGGUAUUGACACUGAGGCGCGAAAGCCAGGGGAGCAAACGGG